AUGUUCUCUUUAGCUCUGCUGCUGGCUGCUGGAUCCUGUGUGAAGUGUGAACAGCUGACACAGCCAGCCUCUGUGAUUGUGGAGCCAGGUCAGCAUCUGACCAUCACCUGUCAGGUCUCUUAUUCUUUGAGCUACUGGACAGCUUGGAUCAGACAGCCUGCAGGGAAAGGACUGGAGUGGAUUGGGAUGAAACAUACUGGGGACUCUCACUAUAAAGAUUCACUGAAGAACAAAUUCAGCAUUGACUUAGACACUUCAAGCAACACAGUAACUUUAAAUUGA